UACAGCCAUAUCACAUUGAAACAUUGGUUCCUGUAUGAUCGCUGAAGUUAAGCAACAUCAAGUCUGGUUAGUACCUUGAUGUGCAACCACUUGGGAAUACCAGGUGCUGUAAG